rnacentral:tRNA from 1 species
CGGGUGAAUAUAGUUUAACCAAAAAUACUAAACUGUGGACUUAGAGAUAAGAGCUAC